rnacentral:rRNA from 1 species
UCUCCGACGGCCCUAUUACGAAAACCGAUCUGCGACGCUUAGCUUUGGGUAAUUUCAGGACCCGUCUGAAACACGGACCAAGGAGUCUAGCAUGCGCGCGAGUCAUUGGGACUAAAUUAAACCUAAAGGCGCAAUGAAAGUGAAACUCGCGAACGCGCAAGAAGGGAAGACGGCGGACGCAUUUAAUCGGUCCGCUUGCAUUCCCGGGGCGUUUCGUUCGUAUUGCGAAACGAGGCGCACCAAGAGCGCGCACGCUGGGACCCGAAAGAUGGUGAACUAUGCCUGGUCAGGACGAAGUCAGGGGAAACCCUGAUGGAGGUCCGUAGCGAUUCUGACGUGCAAAUCGAUCGUCGGAACUGGGUAUAGGGGCGAAAGACUAAUCGAACCAUCUAGUAGCUGGUUCC